UACGAAGGGUGCAAACGUUGCUCGGAAUCAUUGGGCGUAAAGCGCACGUAGGCGGCCCGAUAAGUCGGAUGUGAAAUCCCUCGGCUCAACCGAGGACGUGCCUUUGAUACUGCAAAUCUCGAGUCCGAUAGAGGUGGGUGGAAUUCCUAGUGUAGAGGUGAAAUUCGUAGAUAUUAGGAAGAACACCGGUGGCGAAGGCGGCCAUCUGGACCAGCACUGACGCUGAGGCACGAAAGCGUGGGGAGCAAACAGG
rnacentral:rRNA from 1 species